rnacentral:lncRNA from 10 species
GAGGAGGCAUUGUAUAACUGUGGAGGAAAGAUAACAUGUCUUAGAGAUGCAGCAAACUGGCAGUAGCCAAACUGGAUAUCUCUCUGUGUCUUCCAUGUUGGAAGGUCUUGAUCUGCAGUUUCUUUAGUGGUUUAUACUUCAGGGUGCACAAUGCGUAAUACCAAGUAGAAGACAAAUAGGUUUAUCCCUAGACUUUUAAACUUGGAGACGCCAUUAGGAAGUUAAGACCUUUGGUUGAAUCAUAGCCUGGAGUAAAGUGCUGCCAGCAGCAAUGUCCUCCACCUUUCAGUCCUGGCUCUCCUGAGGCCGAGGAAACCCCAUGGAAGCAGUCUGAUCAACCUGCUUAGGAACUCGAGUAACAGGAACUGUUCUCUUAACCAUUCCAGAAACGGGGUGGCUCUGAUCAUAUGGAAGGGACAGUUCUAGUUUCAGUCAUGAUGGCAGUUAGCCAAAAUAACUUGAGAAAUAUGGAGCUGUAAUGCAGGCUUCUGUGUGUCACGUGUAUGCCACCAGCCUGGCUCCACCUAAUGGAAUGGGUAAUGACAGCUUGGAAAAAGGCAACCUCAUUCGACCACCUCCACACACCAGCUGCACUGGGUUUCUGAGGACUCCCCUUACCAAGCCAAAGGUCCAUUUGGGAGAGAAACAAAGGCAUGAUCCUGCUGUACUAAAUCCAAGAGAGUCCUCAAUUGUGGACUGUGAUCACUUGACAAGCAAGAGGUAGCCAGGUGACAUUGUGCUUGUCUGGGAUCAAAGGGCCAAGGGAAUCAGCUAGAAUUAAGCAGGAGCAAAAUUAUAUAAAGAGGCCUCAGCAUUGAACACUCUUCACAUAGUCAUGUAGGCACUUAACUCCUUUUUAUCUGGAUAAUGGAAGCAUGGAAAAAAAACCCAUAAAUCAGAGGAUUAGGCUAUAUUUCUUCCUUCCUGGAAAACCAUUCAGAGUGGAAUUAAUACUGAUGAGAGGAGAGAAUGCCAGACUCCUCCAAUGUUCCUUACCCAGCAUUAUUGUGUUAGAUGACUUUAGGGAUUCUCUGAGCUACACGGGAGAACUUAAAAUGGCAAUUUAAGGCUGGUCUCGAAUCCCAGCCUCAGGUGAUCCGCCCACCUCUGCCUCCCAAAGUACUGGGAUUACAAGCGUGAGUCACCGCACCUGGCGUUUUUAUUUUUAAAUUUAUUUUUCCCUUUUAAUUUUAGUUGACAUGUAAUAUACAUGUUUGUGGGAUACAAAGUGAUAUUGCGAUACAUGUACACAAUAUAAAAUCAAAUCAGGGCGAUUAGCAUAUCCAUCACUUCAGACAUUUAUCAUUUCCUUGUAUUGUGAGUAUUUUAAAUCCUCUUUUCUAGGUUAUCCAUGUCAGCCUAAAUUUUGUGGGGAAGACAUCACCAGACAAGGAUUUGGUAGAAGGUAUA